GAAGAUGAGCCCUAAAAGGCUCCGGG
rnacentral:tRNA from 1 species